GUGGGGAAUCUUGCGCAAUGGGCGAAAGCCUGACGCAGCCAUGCCGCGUGAAUGAUGAAGGUCUUAGGAUUGUAAAAUUCUUUCACCGGGGACGAUAAUGACGGUACCCGGAGAAGAAGCCCCGGCUAACUUCGUGCCAGCAGCCGCGGUAAUACGAAGGGGGCUCGCGUUGCUCGGAAUUACUGGGCGUAAAGGGCGCGUAGGCGGACAGUUUAGUCAGAGGUGAAAGCCCAGGGCUCAACCUUGGAAUUGCCUUUGAUACUGGCUGUCUUGAGUACGGGAGAGGUGAGUGGAACUCCGAGUGUAGAGGUGAAAUUCGUAGAUAUUCGGAAGAACACCAGUGGCGAAGGCGACUCACUGGCCCGUUACUGACGCUGAGGCGCGAAAGCGUGGGGAGCAAACAGGAUUAGAUACCCCGGUAGUCC
rnacentral:rRNA from 1 species